GGAGAGGUGGCCGAGCUGGACGAAGGCAGCCGCCUGCUAAGCGGUUGUGGGGAUAAUACCUCACCCUGGGUUCGAAUCCCAGCCUCUCCG
rnacentral:tRNA from 1 species